GCAUGCAAGUCGAACGGAUCCUUUGGAUCGUCUAAAGGUGAGAGNGGCGAACGGGUGAGUAACACGUUGGUGACCUGCCCCAGAGAGGGGGAUAACUAUUGGAAACGAUAGCUAAUACCCCGGAUGUUAUUGAGUUUAGAAAUCAAUGACUAAAGCUCCGGCGCUCUGGGAGGGGCCUGCGUCCCAUCAGCUAGUUGGUAAGGUAAUGGCUUACCAAGGCAAAGACGGGUAGGGGGCGUGAGAGCGUGACCCCCCACACUGGUACUGAAACACGGACCCAGAUACCUACGGGUAGCAGCAGCAAGGAAUAUUGCGCAAUGGGCGAAAGCCUGACGCAGCAACACCGCGUGGAGGAUGAAGGCCUUCGGGUUGUAAACUCCUUUUCUAAGGGAAGAAAAAGGACGGUACCUUAGGAAUAAGGCCCGGCUAACUACGUGCCAGCAGCCGCGGUAAAACGUAGGGGUCGAGCGUUAUCCGGAUUUACUGGGCGUAAAGAGCAUGUAGGCGGCGAUCUAAGUCGGACGUGAAAGCUCCUGGCUCAACUGGGAGAGGUCGUUCGAAACUAGAUUGCUCGAGGAUGGUAGAGGUAAGUGGAAUUCUAGGUGUAGUGGUGAAAUGCGUAGAUAUCUAGAGGAACACCAGUGGCGAAGGCGGCUUACUGGGCCAUUCCUGACGCUGAGAUGCGAAAGCUAGGGGAGAGAACGGGAUCAGAAACCCCGGUAUUCCUAGCCGUAAACGAUGUCAACUAGGUGUAGGAGGUAUUGACCCCUUCUGUGCUGUAGCUAACGCGUUAAGUUGACCGCCUGGGGAC
rnacentral:rRNA from 1 species